rnacentral:rRNA from 1 species
AUUGAACGCUGGCGGCAGGCCUAACACAUGCAAGUCGAGCGGCAGCGGAAAGUAGCUUGCUACUUUGCCGGCGAGCGGCGGACGGGUGAGUAAUGUCUGGGAAACUGCCUGAUGGAGGGGGAUAACUACUGGAAACGGUAGCCAAUACCGCAUAACGUCGCAAGACCAAAGAGGGGGACCUUCGGGCCUCUUGCCAUCAGAUGUGCCCAGAUGGGAUUAGCUAGUAGGUGGGGUAAUGGCUCACCUAGGCGACGAUCCCUAGCUGGUCUGAGAGGAUGACCAGCCACACUGGAACUGGGACACGGUCCAGACUCCUACGGGAGGCAGCAGUGGGGAAUAUUGCACAAUGGGCGCAAGCCUGAUGCAGCCAUGCCGCGUGUAUGAAGAAGGCCUUCGGGUUGUAAAGUACUUUCAGCGGGGAGGAAGGUGUUGAGGUUAAUAACCUCAGCAAUUGACGUUACCCGCAGAAGAAGCACCGGCUAACUCCGUGUCAGCCGCCGCCGUAA